rnacentral:lncRNA from 1 species
UUGUAUUGGAUAAAUGUACCCCAUCAAGCAGGAACUAGCUGGUCCAACUUCAUAGUAAUACAUUUAGAACCAAGUUCUGGCUGAAAGCCAGAAUGACUGAACACGGACAUUGGAAAUUACAGAUGUGCCAAGCAGUUUAAUGGGAUUUAUAUCGGAGGUGUGGGAGGAGUUAUUCAUUUAUCUGUUUACUAAUUACUAAUUAAUUAAUUAAUUAAUGAUGCAGCUGGCCUUUCUGCUCUGUAGUUUUAUUAAUGGCAAAGCAAUUUAACAACAUCUUCCCUCAAGAAAUUCUUUCCUCAGGUCAUAGUAGCCAUAGUUAAGCACGGGAUCUAUUCCCUUGCUGGGUUUUAUUGUGACUGGGGGGUGGGGGUUGGGCUGUGACCCAGUUUACACCACCAGCCCACUUCUCUAUGACCUCAAUGGCUUAUGAUACCUGCUUAGGGGUGCAACCGGAAGAACUUCUAUGUAGGGAGUAGUUCUGAUGCUUUGAUUGGGAAUCUGCGUGUGAACACCAGAAGGUCCUGUUCCCCGAUUGGUUCUUGAUUGAUCAAUAAAGAUGCUAGUGACCAAUGGCUGGGCAGAAGAGGCGGGACUUCCAGGUUCUUGUAGGCAGGCUAGGAGACACAGAACAGGAAAGAAUAUUCGCAAUGCUUAGGAGGGUGAGAAAGGGAGAGAGCGAGCCACCAGUUAUGUGAGGUCUUGUGUGGAGUGGCCAUUGGCCGCUUCCCUGAUGGGGCCUGGGGUAGCAGGUGGGAGAUUAGAAACGUAACUAAGCUGAGGACAGAUUUACAGAGGUUGAGCUGGGAAUGAAGA